UACGUAGGGUGCGAGCGUUAAUCGGAAUUACUGGGCGUAAAGCGUGCGCAGGCGGCGCGUUAAGACAGGUGUGAAAUCCCCGGGCUUAACCUGGGAACUGCGCUUGUAACUGGCAAGCUAGAGUGUGGCAGAGGGGGGUGGAAUUCCACGUGUAGCAGUGAAAUGCGUAGAGAUGUGGAGGAACACCGAUGGCGAAGGCAGCCCCCUGGGCUAACACUGACGCUCAUGCACGAAAGCGUGGGGAGCAAACAGG
rnacentral:rRNA from 1 species